CAAGUGUUUGAAAUUGUAUUUGAUAGUUUUGUUUGGAUAUAAUCUGUUUUUCAGGAAGAACGUGAGUUCCUUAUUCCGUCAACUAUGGUAUGAUGGCAUGAACCAUCAUGUUUUUACAAUUGGAACGUGUGAAGAUUCGAUAUUGUGAUGGAGCUUCACCUGCUGGAGAUGCAGUAUAUAAGAAUUGCGUGUGAAUGCGCGUGUGAAAUGAAUGACAGACAUCGUUGCUCUAUUUCAGAGGGUAAAAGCUUUGGGAAGCCAUCAUUCUUGAUCUUCUACCCAAAGGUUUAGGAAAGGCGCAUAAGGUAAAGCGAUCUCUAAUUUUGCUACGUAUAUAUUGAUCC